rnacentral:rRNA from 1 species
UACGGAGGGUGCAAGCGUUAUCUGGAUUCACUGGGUUUAAAGGGUGCGUAGGCGGGUAGGUAAGUCCGUGGUGAAAUCUCUGAGCUUAACUCAGAAACUGCCGUGGAUACUAUUUGCCUUGAAUAUUGUGGAGGUGAGCGGAAUAUGUCAUGUAGCGGUGAAAUGCUUAGAUAUGACAUAGAACACCAAUUGCGAAGGCAGCUCACUACACAAUGAUUGACGCUGAGGCACGAAAGCGUGGGGAUCAAACAGG